rnacentral:piRNA from 1 species
UAGUUCCAAUUAGGGAGUUCUGCUC